AGUGGAAGAGCAAGAGGAUGCUGCAUGUUGUUUGUGUUCCUCUGCUCAGGUUGUAUGAACCACUUUCUGUAGUGGCAUCAUGGUGAUAGACAAGUGCCUUGGAGAGGUGCGCUUAUACAAUCCCCAUCUUUGACUGUGAUCAGCUCAAUGAUGCAGUAGCAGCACUGCCAGCUGAUAGUUAUUCGUGGUGGUAUUUCAAAGAAUUACCCUGCCAUGAAUCAACUGUAUUAAAUAACACCUAAUGUUGCUAUGACAAAACUCCUGAGGAUAUGGGCAAAUGGAGCAGUAAAGUGCUUGCUAUCGAAGGGCUGCAUUUUAUUGCAUUGUGGUAAUAAGGAAAUGUCAAUUUUCUUGAAUUAAAUGUGAAUAUAAAAUAGUUCUGUGGGGGGAAGAAGCCAAAAUUAAAAUGAUUUUAAAAGAAGCUGAGAGAAAUACGAAGAGGAAACUAUAUUGUAUAGCUUAAAUGCAUCCUAGAAUAGGAAACCCAGGAAAACAAUGUGGUUUUGUUUUUUUUUUUUUUCAUACCUGUCUGUGUAAGACAGGUACAAAAUGUUUGAUCUAAGAUAAAUUGCAGUAGGAAAAUGCUUUUUAUCUGUUAGAAGGAUCAUAAGCAGAGAUCUAUUUUAAUUAAGUUAAUCGGUGUAUUGCUACCAAUCUCAAAAGUAUCAGGAACAGGAUUUAUGACAAUAUGAGUACUAAAAUCCAAAUAAUGUCAUUAAGUUAGGAAUGGAGGGAUGGAAUUGAAAAAUACUUUUAUUUUCCUAAAAUGAGCAUAAUGGCUCAUAUUUGAUUUUAUCUCUUUCCUAGGAGGAAAACCCAAGUCUGCUGGUCCUAGGAGUAGGAGUCAAAAGACAAAUCUGUUUGGGUUCAAGAAGAAUGAAGCCUUUCUGUUUAAAGAGAGAAAUGCAUUACCACGAGGUCUUUCUUUCCCAAUCUGUUGUGGUUGGGAAGAAAUACCAUAAAGUUGCAUUUCUUUCUUAGGAUUUUCUUGCCUGUAUAUGAGGUGCCAGAGUGGUUUGAAGCAUGUUUCCACCUAGCAAGAACUUCAACAAGCUGCAGAUGUGACUACUGGCUUGAUAAAAACCACUUGCCUCUCAUUUUACCAUUAAUGUAAUCACUACUUUGGACCAUUCUCUAACAGAUGAAACUCUUGGUGAUUUCACAAAAUCCAGUAUAGAAUAAAUUGCAGAUCAGCCCCCACAAUAAUGUGAAAUUGAAUGUGCUCUAACUUCAAAAUAAGUUUUUGCUUUCUUGGGUAGCAUGAAGCAAAUUCUGCAUGCACAAUACAUACCUCCAGGCUCACAAAUGCUGUCCCUUUGCAGGUUGGGUUUACCAGGUUGCAACAGGAAUGGCUAGAAGGAGAAAAUAAUGCAGUGCAUGAAAAAUUAAACUGA